rnacentral:rRNA from 1 species
UACCAGACUCCUACGGGAGGCAGCAGUGAGGAAUAUUGGUCAAUGGCCGAGAGGCUGAACCAGCCAAGCCGCGUGAGGGAUGAAGGUACAGAGUAUCGUAAACCUCUUUUGUCAGGGAACAAAGGCGGGGACGCGUCCCCGGAUGAGUGUACCUGAAGAAAAAGCAUCGGCUAACUCCGUGCCAGCAGCCGCGGUAAUACGGAGGAUGCGAGCGUUAUCCGGAUUUAUUGGGUUUAAAGGGUGCGCAGGCGGAAUGUCAAGUCAGCGGUAAAAUUUCGGGGCUCAACCCCGUCGUGCCGUUGAAACUGGCGCUCUUGAGUGAGCGAGAAGUAUGCGGAAUGCGUGGUGUAGCGGUGAAAUGCAUAGAUAUCACGCAGAACUCCGAUUGCGAAGGCAGCAUACCGGCGCUCAACUGACGCUCAUGCACGAAAGCGUGGGUAUCGAACAGGAUUAGAUACCCGAGUACCU